rnacentral:rRNA from 1 species
GGAUAAGACAUGCAAGGUCGAACGGGGUGCCUGUAGCAAUAUGGGCAUUCAGUGGCGGACGGGUGCGUAACACGUGGGCAAUUUGCCCGGAAGAGGGGGAUAGCCCGCCGAAAGGCGGAUUAAUACCGCAUGUGACCCUGGGGAGCAUUUCCUGGGAGUUAAAGGAGUGAUCCGCUUCCGGAUGAGCCCGCGGCCUAUCAGCUAGUUGGUGAGGUAACGGCUUACCAAGGCUACGACGGGUAGCUGGUCUUAGAGGACGACCAGCCACACUGGAACUGAGACACGGUCCAGACACCUACGGGUGGCAGCAGUCGAGAAUCUUUCACAAUGGGGGAAACCCUGAUGGAGCGACGCCGCGUGGAGGAUGAAGGUCUUCGGAUUGUAAACUCCUGUCAUGAGGGAACAAAGCCCGCGAGGGUGUGAUAGUACUUCAAGAGGAAGGGACGGCUAACUUCGUG